rnacentral:rRNA from 1 species
AGUGAACGCUGGCGGUAGGCCUAACACAUGCAAGUCGAACGGCAGCACAGUAAGAGCUUGCUCUUACGGGUGGCGAGUGGCGGACGGGUGAGGAAUACAUCGGAAUCUACUUUUUCGUGGGGGAUAACGUAGGGAAACUUACGCUAAUACCGCAUACGACCUACGGGUGAAAGCAGGGGAUCUUCGGACCUUGCGCGACUGAAUGAGACGAUGUCGGAUUAGCUAGUUGGCGGGGUAAAGGCCCACCAAGGCGACGAUCCGUAGCUGGUCUGAGAGGAUGAUCAGCCACACUGGAACUGAGACACGGUCCAGACUCCUACGGGAGGCAGCAGUGGGGAAUAUUGGACAAUGGGCGCAAGCCUGAUCCAGCCAUACCGCGUGGGUGAAGAAGGCCUUCGGGUUGUAAAGCCCUGUUGUUGGGAAAGAAAAGCAGCAGGUUAAUACCCCGCUGUUCUGACGGUACCCAAAGAAUAAGCACCGGCUAACUUCGUG